AUCACUCUGGAGAGACCAGACAUACAGCCACACAGCACAGAGAGAGUCUUCCUCAGUGUGUCCAACCACAUCUUCACUGUGAUCUUCAUAGCAGAGAUGACCGUUAAGGUGGUAGCCCAGGGGCUGUACUCAGGUGAAGCAGUCUAUCUGAAGAGCAGCUGGAACGUUCUGGAUGGAUUGUUGGUGUUUGUAUCUCUGCUGGACAUUCUGGUUUCCGUAGCGUCCGCCGGCGGUAACCGUAUCCUAGGAAUCCUCCGAGUACUGCGUCUCCUGCGAACCCUUCGACCACUCAGGGUGAUCAGUCGAGCCCCAGGGCUGAAGCUGGUCGUAGAGACUCUGAUCACAUCUCUGAGACCCAUCG